GCAUUUAGUAUGACACUAAUUGCAUUUGUUCUUCAUUAAUUUUAUACAGGUUUACAGAAGGCCUCAAGACACUGGGAGUUCUGGGUGCUGUGAAGCAGCAUCCAGACAGUUUUCGGAAGUUGUUUUGCCACGAACCCCAGCUGUUAACGGCCGUAAUGGACCAACUUUUCACACCUCGACUUUCCCCCAAAGGAAGUAACAAGAGAAGAUUGGAAGAAGACGUUAUUCCUUUGUGGAGGGAUUAUCUGCAGGAUGCAGAAGAUGAGGAAGGUUCAUCCAAGCUACAGAACAUCCUGGUUUUUGCAACUGGAGCAAGCGAGAUACCACCAAUUGGCUUUUCUCCUGGACCAUCUAUUGAGUUUCUUCAUGGCAGCAGUGAAGAAAGCCACACAAAAAAGCUUCCAAUGGCAAAUACGUGCAUAAAUUGUCUGAAACUACCAGUCCUGACUUGUUAUGAAGUGUUUAAGGAAAACAUUGAUUUUGCUUUAGCAAACACUCAAGGAUUUGGGAGAACAUAAGUUUUUCAUUUGAGUGACUGACAUAUCACUAUGCUAAGUUGUGUUGAAAGUGUUGAAAUAAAGUUUAGAGUUUGUAUGUACAUUUUGCAAAGGCUGGUCCAGUUAGCAAAGUAAUGUUCAAAAAUUC